rnacentral:lncRNA from 1 species
CCAUGGAAGAGUUCCAAGAGUGUGAAAUGCCACAGAGAGGCGUUUUUGGAAGGAGAUCUGUCACCGACAGAAAUGGCCAAUAGGAGAGAGCAGAUGUCAACAUGUAAACAAUUAAAAGAGAGGACUGGGGAAGAACUGGAGCCAAGGAGCAUAGAGCACACCUUCUAAAUUCUGGGACUCGUAAAGGCUGUCCUUGGACUUUAAAUCUCUUGUUUAGCUAGCAAAGCUCUCAAGCUGGUGAUCCCCAGGUCACAGAUAUUGUACCAGUUAUUUAUCGCUGCAAAAAUGCUGCCUAACAAGCCACCCUAAAGGUCAGUGGGUUAAAUAAUAAUCAUUUAUUAUUUCUUAGGAGUCAACAUAUUGUUAGUUGGGUAGCUCUUCUAGAAUUAACUGGGUUUACUCAUUUUUUGAGUUAGCUGUGGGCUUGGUAGGUGGAUCUACUCAUCUUGGCUGAACUCUCAUUGUAAAUCAGCUCUCUGUCCUUGGGUCUAGAAAGGCCUUGAAUGUUUUCCAUAAUCUCUCACAUUCUUCCAGUAAGUGAGCCUGAAUACGUUCUCAUGAUGAAGCAAAAAUUGUUUACUCAUUUAUCCAUUUACUUACUGGGUCUCCUAUGUUCCAGGCACUGAAACAAGGAACCAAAGAAAUGGAGUCAAAUGAGAACUUGCCCCUUUUAUGAAGGAACUUGCCGUUGAAUGGGAGAGACAGGCAAGUCAACCAGGGACCACAGUGCAGAGUGAUCUGUCUCCAUCACUUUGGAUUAUGAACACCAGGAGUGAUAUACAAGAACAUAACAAAGACUAUGAACUGAAGAGGACAGGUCAGGAAAGGUUGUUCUAAGCCUGAAACAACCCAAAGGAAA